rnacentral:misc_RNA from 1 species
CGUCCCUAAGGUGGUGAGCGUUCCCAAGCUGGUGUCGGUGCCGCAGGUGGUUACCGUCAACAAGGUGGUAGCCGCGCCCAGCUACAGCGGCUACAGCGGUGGACUCUCCGGCGGGUACGGCUCUGGCUACAGUUCUGGCUACAGCUCUGGCCAUGGACUCAGCUCUGGCAUCGGCUCCGGUUACGGAUCUGGCUACUCGAAGGGCUGGUGGUGAACGAG